CUGGGGGAUCCCCCAGCCUUCUCCAGCAGCUCCUUCUCUUCCCCCUCCUUGAGCUGCCAGGGCUUCCCUGCGGCUCCAGCGCUCCCCGGGCACUGCGGGGCUGGGGCAGAAGUGAACUCCAGCCAAAGGCUCUGAGAAUUCCCAAAGGCAGCCGAGCACAGAGGGCCCUGGGAGCGCCUGCACUGCCCUGCUGGGAUGGAGCUGGGGAUUAUCCGAGGAUUGAGGCUCCUCAGGCGCUCUGGGCAGCAGCUGCCGGCUCCAGGGGCUGCAGGAACAUCCCUGGCAGGGUCAGGAGCUGAGCCCAGCCCUGCAGGGAGAGCUCCAGGCUCUCCCAGGACACGGAGCUGCAGAUCCCACGGCUCACUGGCAUCAGCAGAACGCCAGAAGAGCUCCUCACCCCUCCUGGAAUCAGCCUGGCUGCUCCUGAGAGAUGCUCAGAUGCAUCAGGAGGGAGCAGCAGAAGUGACUCCAAAACCACGGCCUGGGAACAAGCUGAAAUGUCUCCUGGAGGAAUGAAGACCAAUAUUCCCAGAGGAGGAGGAGGAGGAGCUGGAAGCCCCUUCUGUGCAAGAAGGAAAUGCAUCAUUUGUGAGCUUCACACCAAACUGGGAUUGCAAAGCUGCAGGUGGAUAUUUGGUUUACCACAAAAUCCACCCUGGCAACUGAAGGCAAUGCAUCCUGGCAGGUCUGAGCUGCUUUCUGAAAGGCCUGUUUUUCACAGUCACUUCUUCCCUGAGGUCAAAUGUGUGCUGAGCAGAGGAGAGCAGCACAGAGAAUGAUGG